rnacentral:rRNA from 1 species
UUGCUCCUUUGAAGUUAGCGGCGGACGGGUGAGUAACACGUGGGUAACCUACCUAUAAGACUGGAAUAACUUCGGGAAACCGGAGCUAAUACCGGAUAACAUUUGGAACCGCAUGGUUCUAAAGUGAAAGAUGGUUUUGCUGUCACUUAUAGAUGGACCCGCGCCGUAUUAGCUAGUUGGUAAGGUAACGGCUUACCAAGGCAACGAUACGUAGCCGACCUGAGAGGGUGAUCGGCCACACUGGAACUGAGACACGGUCCAGACUCCUACGGGAGGCAGCAGUAGGGAAUCUUCCGCAAUGGACGAAAGUCUGACGGAGCAACGCCGCGUGAGUGAUGAAGGUCUUCGGAUCGUAAAACUCUGUUAUUAGGGAAGAACAAAUGUGUAAGUAACUGUGCACAUCUUGACGGUACCUAAUCAGAAAGCCACGGCUAACUACGUGCCAGCAGCCGCGGUAAUACGUAGGUGGCAAGCGUUAUCCGGAAUUAUUGGGCGUAAAGCGCGCGUAGGCGGUUUCUUAAGUCUGAUGUGAAAGCCCACGGCUCAACCGUGGAGGGUCAUUGGAAACUGGAAAACUUGAGUACAGAAGAGGAAAGUGGAAUUCCAUGUGUAGCGGUGAAAUGCGCAGAGAUAUGGAGGAACACCAGUGGCGAAGGCGAC